rnacentral:rRNA from 1 species
ACUAGUCGAGUCGGCCUGCGCGGAAGAUGUAACGGGGCUCAAAUAUAGCACCGAAGCUGCGGCAUCAGGCGUAUCACUAAUACGCCUUACGAUUAACAACAUCGCCUGAAACGAAGUGAAAUGGGAUGUUGGUCAAGCGUUCCAAACGUUGAGGCGGUUGGAGGGUAAUCGAAGAGAGGAUUAUUAGUGAUACGUCUGUUGGGUAGGGGAGCGUUGUGUAAGCGGAAGAAGGUGGCUCGAGAGGGUUGCUGGACGUAUCACA